rnacentral:tRNA from 1 species
GCCCGCGUAGCUCAGCGGAUAGAGCGUCGGUCUCCGGAACCGAAGGUCCACGGUUCGAUCCCGUGCGCGGGCG